UUCUGAUCUUAGGGACUAAAGCUCGGGGCUUGUUUGUUCCUGUUUAUGCAUAAUUACUGGCUCUGCAUCUCUCACUCUCUCACUCCCUCUAUUUUCGUCCGAAAAACAGAGCAUCGGCUCUCAAUCCUCUCUCUCGCUCCACCGGCCACCAGGCAGUACCAAAUCACCUCCCAUACCUUCAAGUCGAUCGUGCGCAGCUGCAGAAGGCAGCCUUGCGCUGCAGAACCACUGGAGACGACGGCGGAGGCCGAUGUGUUUCAAAAACCCGUUUUAGUUCCAAGCUUGAUAACUCGUGCUUCCGGAAACCAAUACGUACCAAACUUCAUCCACGAGCUUGCCUCAACCUCCUGAAGCUCCCAGAAGCAACCUUGCAAGGAGGCACAGCCCGUAGCGGCAGCGGCAAGGCAACCCCACGGACCCGGAAAGUUUCGAUCCAAAUAUCUCGAGCUACAGGACGUCGUUUUACAUGUUUCUUGGACUGGUGAACUCAGAGUGAGGAGAUGAACAACUUUCUACAAGGGAUCGAGGCCUGAGGUUGGAGUUUUUACGUUGAAAACUCAAGCCUGCCGGAUUCUGGAAUUUUUCCGGCAACCGAAACCUUCGAUCAGAAGGAAUUGAGGCCUGAAAGUGAAGUUUUUACUUCAAAAUCAAGCUCGCCGGAUUCUGCAUUUUACGCCGGAUUCUGGAAAAUUUCCGGCCACCCGGACUGUUUUAGGUGAUUGACGGUUUUUACUUGGACGAGCGAGUUUGGUGUGAUUGUGUUAAUUUGAAGACGCAGCGGGAGUAUCGAGCGGGAAAUCUUACAGGUCAGGAGAAUCGAGAAGGUGAUCAGGCUGCCUAGAGUAGUGGUAUUUGAGUUACAGCAUUAUUGUGAGUUUCGUUAUGUUCAUUUUGAACUUAACAAUUUGGAAAUUGUGAUAAUGUGCUGUAAUAAGAAAUUGAGGAAUUGGAUAUUGUAAUUUUGAGUGGUGCGAGGCGUGUUGCUCUGAAAGAAAAUUUUUGAUUGAUAUUUGUAUUUGUAAUUAUUCAUGUUUCGGAUUUGAAUUUCUUAUUCA